AACGAACGCUGGCGGCAUGCCUAACACAUGCAAGUCGAACGAGACCUUCGGGUCUAGUGGCGCACGGGUGCGUAACGCGUGGGAACCUGCCUUUAGGUUCGGAAUAACUCAGAGAAAUUUGAGCUAAUACCGGAUAAUGUCUUCGGACCAAAGAUUUAUCGCCUUUAGAUGGGCCCGCGUUGGAUUAGCUAGUUGGUGGGGUAAAGCCUACCAAGGCGACGAUCCAUAGCUGGUCUGAGAGGAUGAUCAGCCACACUGGGACUGAGACACGGCCCAGACUCCUACGGGAGGCAGCAGUGGGGAAUAUUGGACAAUGGCGAAAGCCUGAUCCAG
rnacentral:rRNA from 1 species